rnacentral:rRNA from 1 species
UUCCGGUUGAUCCUGCCAGAGGUCACUGCUAUCAGUGUUCGACUAAGCCAUGCAAGUCAAAUGUUCUUCGUGAACAUGGCGGACUGCUCAGUAACACGUGGAUAACCUGCCCUUAGGAUUGGCAUAACACCGGGAAACUGGUGAUAAUACCGAAUAGACCAUUUAUGCUGGAAUGCUUUUUGGUUCAAAGGCUUCGGCUGCCUAAGGAUGGAUCUGCGGCCUAUCAGGUAGUAGUGGGUGUAAUGUACCUACUAGCCUACGACGGGUACGGGUUGUGAGAGCAAGAGCCCGGAGAUGGAUUCUGAGACAUGAAUCCAGGCCCUACGGGGCGCAGCAGGCGCGAAAACUUUACAAUGCGGGAAACCGCGAUAAGGGGACACUGAGUGCCAGCAUAUUAUGUUGGCUGUCCACAUGUAUAAAAACCAUGUGUUAGCAAGGGCCGGGCAAGACCGGUGCCAGCCGCCGCGGUAACACCGGCGGCCCGAGUGGUGAUCACUUUUAUUGGGUCUAAAGGGUCCGUAGCCGGUUUAAUCAGUCUUCUGGGAAAUCUGACAGCUCAACUGUUAGGCUUUCAGGGGAUACUGUUAGACUUGGGACCGGGAGAGGUAAGAGGUACUACAGGGGUAGGAGUGAAAUCUUGUAAUCCCUGUGGGACCACCAGUGGCGAAGGCGUCUUACCAGAACGGGUCCGACGGUGAGGGACGAAAGCUGGGGGCACGAACCGGAUUAGAUACCCGGGUAGUCCCAGCCGUAAACGAUGUUCGCUAGGUGUCAGGGACGGUGCGACCGUUUCUGG